UACGGGGGGAGGCAAGCGUUGUUCGGAUUUACUGGGCGUAAAGGGCGCGUAGGCGGCCUGUGCAAGUCAGUUGUGAAAUCUCCGAGCUUAACUCGGAACGGUCAACUGAUACUGCUCGGCUAGAGUGCGGAAGGGGCAACUGGAAUUCUCGGUGUAGCGGUGAAAUGCGUAGAGUAAUCGAGAGGAACACCUGCGGCGAAGGCGG
rnacentral:rRNA from 1 species